UCGGAUUGACCGAGACGUAAUUCCUGGCAGUGUAAACUUGUAACUAGUUUAUCUGGGCUUUCAUCCAGAGAAAUCCAGGGGCGGAUUCCGUUUAUAAAAAACACCUGAAGAGGAAAGUCCCGGCUAAUUCUGAUGGAUGGGAGAUUUUUUUUUAGAGCUCCUGAAAAAUAGUUAACAAUAUAAUCGUUUUUAUAUUUGAUUGCUCACGCAUACAGAGUAAAUACCGUUGUUUCCCCGCCCCAGUAUUUUUAUUUGCAGCUUCCUAUUCAAUAGAUUGCUUCCAGUCUCUGGUGCUAAAGUUUCAGAUCGUUUAGAGCCAUGGGGAAUGGGAUGAAUAAGAUACUUCCUGGUUUGUUCCUUGGAAAUUUUAAAGAUGCUCGUGACACCGAACAACUAAAACAGAAUAACAUUACACACAUUCUUUCAAUCCAUGACAGUGCUCGGCCCAUGUUGGAGGUAGGGUAAGAAACUUACCAAACUUAAACCAAUGUGGUUUCAGUAGGAAUAAGCAGGCAAAUGCUAUUUUAGCAUUAGUACAAUAUUGACUUAGGACUAUUUCUGUAAAGGGCUAUGGAUAAGAGGAAGGAGGAAGUUGUCAACAAUGAUGUAUAGAUGCAGGGAAGGGGCUUUUUCUCAAGAACUCUGAUUAUCAUUUUUCCAUUAAUCUGCUCAAAUGAAUCUAAUGUCAUAAUCACGUCACGAUAAGUCAGUGUCAUCUAACUUCCAUGUGAUUUAACCAGUGUUGAUUGUAACUGUACUUCUGGAUUUCUGAUUAUCAUCAAAUUGGGCUACAAAUGGCAAUGUGUAUUCCUCCAGACAUUGAACCUCAGCUACUGUCAGCUUUUGCGAGUAUGGCCGAUGGUAAAGAAUGAUAGAAGUUGUAGUUCUAAAUAAUAAUGUGGCCCAUUUCUUGGGGUUCUGUUCAA